CGAUCGGACAUUUCCUGCACGAUUGAAAAUUGUAAACCCUAGCAGAGCUCCAGCCGUGCUCGCGAUCGGACAUUUCCUGCCCGCGGUCAUCCACGGAUCCGCCGCCGUCGCCUCCUCCAUCGACCUCUGCACCUCCUGCACCCUCCGCUUCCCCUCCCAGACCGGUAUAUCAAGGAAGGUAGCACGGUGAGUGUGAUGGGUGUUGUCCAGAGGAACGACAAUGUGCUUAUGAUUGUUCCACCGCCCGAGCCAUUGACUACAGGCUGCCAGUGGGGUCAAUGCAUCUUCCCAGUAAGUUUGGAUGGGAUUGUCUUGAGAUGUGAAGAUACCUCAAAAAUUGACGUAAUACCCGUGUGACCUGUGUCUUGUCUUGAGCAAAGACUUUGUUUGUCUUAAGCCUCUUUUCCGUCGGGCAAAAGUUAAUUUGUUGGCGCUAUUGGUAUUCAAUGGUGGUGGUGGUGUUUGUCAAGUGAUAUGUUGAAUCAGUCUGUGGGAUGGUUUUUUUUUUUUUUUUGUGAAUAGCUUUCAAGAGAUUCUUUCUUUGCUAUCAAACCUUAUUUUUACUAGGGGAGUCUUAAAACUUUUGUAGUGGGAGGCGGGGUUGGGUGGGCUUUUCCAUGUAAUUUGGGAGAAUUUGAAGGAUGGGUCCGGGGGGUAAAUUUUUAUGUGGUUUGGAGGCAACAGCACUUUGUGUUUUAUGUUAUUAAGGUCGGGGUUGGGGGUGGGGGAACGGAGUGGAAAGUUAUGGAGAAGCCUGUCAUUGAGCUUUAAUAUCAGGAAGUAUAUCCAUUUUGGUGUUUUCGGUUUGUUCAUCUUUCCAGAGUUUUGCACCUAUCUCUGUUCUGAAUGUUUUAUUUUGAUGCUAAGGUCCCUUCGAUUCACAUACAAUACAAAGUUGUAGUAGCACGAAGAUCCCAGUGGUUUUGUUUUGGCACUGUGUAAUAUAUCAUUUGGCCUUUUUUCUCUUUUUCUUUUUUUCCUGGUCAUCAGUAUGUAGCCUGUAUAUUCACUUUCUGCAAAUUUAGUUCUAUCUGUUGGAAGCAA